ACUGAUCCCAGCUGUGAAGAACUGCAGGAAGGCUGAUCUUUCUGGCUGUGGACUCUCUGAUCCUCACUGUGAAGUGAUCUCCUCAGCUCUGACCUCUGACCCCUCCCAUCUGAAACAUCUGGACCUGAGUGAGAACAUCCUGCAGGAUUCCUCAGUGAAGAUUGUGUGUUCUGGACUGGAGAGUCCAAACUGUAACCUGGAGACUCUGAGGUUGAGGAGCUGCAGUUUGUCAGAGAUCAGCUGUUCUUCUCUGGCCUCAGCUCUGAAGU